rnacentral:lncRNA from 1 species
AGAGGUAUUGAGGAGAGGUGAUUUGGCAUGACAUGGCUAGAAUGCGGGUUUCCGAGGACAUGGCCCUUGAUAGGAAAGUCUGGAGGUCUAGUAUCAGGGUUGUAGGAUAGGGGCCCCUAGAGUNNNNNNNNNNNNNNNNNNNNNNNNNNNNNNNNNNNNNNNNNNNNAGUAUCAGGGUUGUAGGAUAGGGACUCCUAGAGUUUUUCGUACUCCUCACCCGGGGUUGGGUGAGGCUUGGCAGGGCUAUCCAUAAAUGAUUUGUAUAUUGGAUUGUGUCUCCAUUAUGGUAGUUACAUUUUGAUAUUAUUGCAUGCUAUGGUUCUUAUGUUUAGAUAAUUAUUUACGCUAUUUUUGCUGGAGUUACUAAUUCUCUUUAGUUUUUGUUUUUGUUUUUAUUUUUCCUUUCCUUCACUGAGCCAGGGGUCGAUUGGAAACAGUCUCUCUGCCCUUUCGGGUAGUGCGACUAUACUGGAUAGUUGCUGUUAUUAUUGUUGAUCGGGGGUUCAAUCUUAUGAACGGAAAAAGUAUUUGGCUGAUUAGUAAGUUCUUAAAAAUGUCAUAUAGAUUGCUGUGACAUGAACUUUGCCAAUAGAUUUCUAACUUUCUAUUGAUCUUGAUUUGUUAUAGCUUAGUUUCUUGCUGAGAUUUUUUUUUUUGGGGGAUCAGAUCCACUUUUAUAUCGUCUCAUGAAAGUUGAAACGCAUGCUUAUCUGCAUGUGCUUUGGGGGCCCCACUCAACGAUUACUUACUUGUGAUUGCCGUCAUUUCGUAAAGGAGAAUAGUGACAACAACAACAACAACUACCCAGUAUACUCGCACCAGAUAGGGUCUGGGGAGGGUAAUAUGUAGACAAACCUUACCCCUACCCGAAAGGGCAGAGAGGCUGUUUCCAAUCGACCCCCGGCUCAUAGGAUAAAAGGAAAAACAGCAGUAAAACAAAACAAAGGCAAAAACAAAAAUAAUAAAGCAUUAGUAACUCCAGCAGAAAUGGCGUAAAUAGCGUAAAUAGUUAUCUAAACAUACGAAACAUAAAUACAAUCGCAUGCAAUAAUAUCAUACAGUACCUACCAUAAAUAU